UAAUCUGUAGAAUCGUCAAAAAAGAGAAAACAUGUCCACGUAUCAAUCACAGGAUCUUAUGAGAUGACCUUAGAGGCCAUCCACCACUGUCUACCACAGCCCCCCUGUGGCCACACUACAAGGUCACAGACAGAUCUCAACGGCCUCUGGGCAGGACAUGCUGUAAUGGGGACAAGCAAGGCUGUGGUGCCACACACACACACCGGGGCUCUGUGCCUGCCCUCCAUGACCCUUCUCUGACAGCUCCCUGACCCCCUGGCCUUGCUAUCUCCAUCCACAGAAGAGCUCAGUAUUCCACACACACAGUAGUGUGAGGGUAGAGGACACAAAGUGCUCAGUGCACCACAGAUCCUAACUUCAGCACAGACCCCAUCUCUCCAUCCUGCCCACGGAUGCCAGCAGCAGUGCAGGUUCAUUCUGACUCCUGUGUUUCAUCCGGUCACCCAGGGAGCAACUCUAUCAGAGGGGAGCCUGACACGUUCCUGGUAAAGGGUUCUUAGAAUCCUGAAUUCAAGCUAAAUUAAAACAAGUGACUGCAUUUCAUUUCUGAGCAUCUCGUUUCCUCCCUUCUGUUUUUGUUUAUACUUUUUCCACCUCCAACAUGUCAUUUUUCUAUCUUUCCCAUAUUGCUUCAAACGUCUCCCUUUUAUAUCCAUUCAGACUGGGCACUAGAUGGUUUAUAAAUGUCAUCUUCUGAGAUUUCUGAUGAUGUGCCUGGAACUAGACACUCACUGUCAGCUGAGAGAAGACAACACGGAAGAAAAUACCUCAAGAAUAUAGAACUAAGCAGGGCCCCUGGGUGGCUCAGUCGGUUAAGCAUCUGACCUCGGCUCAGAGGUCAUGAUCUCACACUUCGUGGGUUCGAGCCCUGCAUCGGGCUCUGUGCUGACAGCUCAGAGCCUGGAGCCUGCUUUGGAUUCUGUGUGUAUGUGUGUGUGUGUGUCUGCCCCUUCCCCGCUUGUGCUCUGUCUCUCAAAAAUAAAUAAAUGUUAAAAAAAAAUU